rnacentral:tRNA from 1 species
GCUACGGUGGUCUAGCGGUCAGAACACUAGCCUUGUAAGCCUGGGGUCCCGGGUUCAAUUCCCGGUGGUGCU